UACGAAGGGGGCUAGCGUUGCUCGGAAUCACUGGGCGUAAAGCGCACGUAGGCGGACUCUUAAGUCAGGGGUGAAAUCCUGGAGCUCAACUCCAGAACUGCCUUUGAUACUGGGAGCCUUGAGUUCGGGAGAGGUGAGUGGAACUGCGAGUGUAGAGGUGAAAUUCGUAGAUAUUCGCAAGAACACCAGUGGCGAAGGCGGCUCACUGGCCCGAUACUGACGCUGAGGCACGAAAAGCGUGGGGAGCAAACAGG
rnacentral:rRNA from 1 species